UUUGGUUAAGUUAGAAAGGGCGCACGGUGGAUGCCUUGACACUAGGAGUCGAUGAAGGACGGGACUAACGCCGAUAUGCUUCGGGGAGCUGUAAGUAAGCUUUGAUCCGAAGAUUUCCGAAUGGGGAAACCCACCAUACGUAAUGGUAUGGUAUCCUUAUCUGAAUACAUAGGGUAAGGAAGACAGACCCAGGGAACUGAAACAUCUAAGUACCUGGAGGAAGAGAAAGCAAAUGCGAUUUCCUGAGUAGCGGCGAGCGAAACGGAACAUAGCCCAAACCAAGAGGCUUGCCUCUUGGGGUUGUAGGACAUUCUAUACGGAGUUACAAAGGAACGAGGUAGACGAAGCGACCUGGAAAGGUCCGUCGUAGAGGGUAACAACCCCGUAGUCGAAACUUCGUUCUCUCUUGAAUGUAUCCUGAGUACGGCGGAACACGUGAAAUUCCGUCGGAAUCUGGGAGGACCAUCUCCCAAGGCUAAAUACUCCCUAGUGAUCGAUAGUGAACCAGUACCGUGAGGGAAAGGUGAAAAGCACCCCGGAAGGGGAGUGAAAGAGAUCCUGAAACCGUGUGCCUACAAAUAGUCAGAGCCCGUUAACGGGUGAUGGCGUGCCUUUUGUAGAAUGAACCGGCGAGUUACGAUCCCGUGCGAGGUUAAGCUGAAGAGGCGGAGCCGCAGCGAAAGCGAGUCUGAAUAGGGCGUUUAGUACGUGGUCGUAGACCCGAAACCAGGUGAUCUACCCAUGUCCAGGGUGAAGUUCAGGUAACACUGAAUGGAGGCCCGAACCCACGCACGUUGAAAAGUGCGGGGAUGAGGUGUGGGUAGCGGAGAAAUUCCAAUCGAACCUGGAGAUAGCUGGUUCUCCCCGAAAUAGCUUUAGGGCUAGCCUUAAGUGUAAGAGUCUUGGAGGUAGAGCACUGAUUGGACUAGGGGUCCUCAUCGGAUUACCGAAUUCAGUCAAACUCCGAAUGCCAAUGACUUAUCCUUAGGAGUCAGACUGCGAGUGAUAAGAUCCGUAGUCAAAAGGGAAACAGCCCAGACCGCCAGCUAAGGUCCCAAAGUGUGUAUUAAGUGGAAAAGGAUGUGGAGUUGCUUAGACAACUAGGAUGUUGGCUUAGAAGCAGCCACCAUUUAAAGAGUGCGUAAUAGCUCACUAGUCGAGUGACUCUGCGCCGAAAAUGUACCGGGGCUAAAUACACCACCGAAGCUGCGGAUUGAUACCAAUGGUAUCAGUGGUAGGGGAGCGUUCUAAGGACAGUGAAGUCAGACCGGAAGGACUGGUGGAGUGCUUAGAAGUGAGAAUGCCGGUAUGAGUAGCGAAAGACGGGUGAGAAUCCCGUCCACCGAAUGCCUAAGGUUUCCUGAGGAAGGCUCGUCCGCUCAGGGUUAGUCAGGACCUAAGCCGAGGCCGACAGGCGUAGGCGAUGGACAACAGGUUGAUAUUCCUGUACCACCUCUUUAUCGUUUGAGCAAUGGAGGGACGCAGAAGGAUAGAAGAAGCGUGCGAUUGGUUGUGCACGUCCAAGCAGUUAGGCUGAUAAGUAGGCAAAUCCGCUUAUCGUGAAGGCUGAGCUGUGAUGGGGAAGCUCCUUAUGGAGCGAAGUCUUUGAUUCCCCGCUGCCAAGAAAAGCUUCUAGCGAGAUAAAAGGUGCCUGUACCGCAAACCGACACAGGUAGGCGAGGAGAGAAUCCUAAGGUGUGCGAGAGAACUCUGGUUAAGGAACUCGGCAAAAUGACCCCGUAACUUCGGGAGAAGGGGUGCUUUCUUAACGGAAAGCCGCAGUGAAUAGGCCCAAGCGACUGUUUAGCAAAAACACAGCUCUCUGCGAAGCCGUAAGGCGAAGUAUAGGGGGUGACACCUGCCCGGUGCUGGAAGGUUAAGGAGAGGGGUUAGCGUAAGCGAAGCUCUGAACUGAAGCCCCAGUAAACGGCGGCCGUAACUAUAACGGUCCUAAGGUAGCGAAAUUCCUUGUCGGGUAAGUUCCGACCCGCACGAAAGGUGUAACGAUUUGGGCACUGUCUCAACCAGAGACUCGGUGAAAUUAUAGUACCUGUGAAGAUGCAGGUUACCCGCGACAGGACGGAAAGACCCCGUGGAGCUUUACUGUAGCCUGAUAUUGAAUUUUGGUACAGUUUGUACAGGAUAGGCGGGAGCCAUUGAAACCGGAGCGCUAGCUUCGGUGGAGGCGCUGGUGGGAUACCGCCCUGACUGUAUUGAAAUUCUAACCUACGGGUCUUAUCGACCCGGGAGACAGUGUCAGGUGGGCAGUUUGACUGGGGCGGUCGCCUCCUAAAGUGUAACGGAGGCGCCCAAAGGUUCCCUCAGAAUGGUUGGAAAUCAUUCGUAGAGUGCAAAGGCAUAAGGGAGCUUGACUGCGAGACCUACAAGUCGAGCAGGGACGAAAGUCGGGCUUAGUGAUCCGGUGGUUCCGCAUGGAAGGGCCAUCGCUCAACGGAUAAAAGCUACCCCGGGGAUAACAGGCUUAUCUCCCCCAAGAGUCCACAUCGACGGGGAGGUUUGGCACCUCGAUGUCGGCUCAUCGCAUCCUGGGGCUGUAGUCGGUCCCAAGGGUUGGGCUGUUCGCCCAUUAAAGCGGUACGCGAGCUGGGUUCAGAACGUCGUGAGACAGUUCGGUCCCUAUCCGUCGUGGGCGUAGGAAAUUUGAGAGGAGCUGUCCUUAGUACGAGAGGACCGGGAUGGACGCACCGCUGGUGUACCAGUUGUUCUGCCAAGGGCAUAGCUGGGUAGCUAUGUGCGGAAGGGAUAAGUGCUGAAAGCAUCUAAGCAUGAAGCCCCCCUCAAGAUGAGAUUUCCCAUAGCGUAAGCUAGUAAGAUCCCUGAAAGAUGAUCAGGUUGAUAGGUUCGAGGUGGAAGCAUGGUGACAUGUGGAGCUGACGAAUAC
rnacentral:rRNA from 1 species